UUCUAUUUUUCAGUAUUUUGACUUUUUCCCCUCUAAAUAUUUGGUUUUUAGAAAUACCCAGCAUGCCACACACCAUACACCACUCUCAAAGCGUUACAAAUAUUUGAUAUAUGCAUUCAAAGCUGAGAAGUCAAAUUCAUUAUUUUCAGUUUAUCUAGAAAUUUCACCCACUUCCCCUGAUUUGUUUUUUUUGUGUGAGAGGUUUAUUUGACCCGCGCACGGGACAUUACGCACGCUCAUCGACACAGGUAGGUUUCCCACCCCUGCUCUAAAUAGGCUGAUUCCUCCAGUCGUAUCCACCUUUAUUUGAUUUGUUGAGUUUUGAGUCUUAUGUGUAUUUUGUUUCUUUUUUUGUUUUGUUUUAUUUAUGUUGAUCAUUACGUGUUCCAUCUGCUGACAUUGGGUCGACAGAUUUAUGGAGAAAGUCAGAACAAAAGAACGGAGGCACCUUUCAUGAGUCAUGUCUCAUUCACUAAGAAAAUGACUCACAGAUCGGCUUUUUGUUUACUUAUCUGUGGCGGGGAUCCUUUUCCACAGAACCCAGCCAAGGCAGGAUAUUUAAAUUCGGUAGGCAUGUUCAUCAUGGGUAGAACCACAAAACAUCUCAAAAGCCCCUGCCUGAAAAUAAAUAGGAAGUCAGCCAUUUUGGCUUGAAGCAGCCAUUUGAGGGUCUUUUUGGGCCAUUUCUAGGAGUUUUCCAGGACUUUUGCUUGAUUGUUACGCAUAUUAGACCAAAUUGCAACUCAUUCGUGUUUUCAUCAUUGCCUGUGGGAACAGUCGGCUUUACAGAUGAGUCCCCCCCACCCCCUGCCUGUGAAUUGUCGAAUACCUGUUGAUAUAUUAUGAGGUUACUCAUUGGGAGCACGAAAGGGGAAAAUAUUUUUUUGUUUACACUUUCAGCAGUGAAUAAAAGCGCAGCUAGCGUCGGUAAUUCAACGCACAUCAGUGAAGACAUGCAUGAGCCGGCACCCCAACGAAUCUCUGAAGAUUGCUUUAUCAUAUACAUCAUAUACAUCGUAUAUACUGUAAAUCUUGGCAUGUCCCAAUCGAUGACAAAUGUUACCAUAUCAUUGUUGCUGUUUUUUAAAAAAACAAGUUUGAAUGGUUAUUUAUCAGAUCUGUGCUCUUAAUGAGUCGUAUCCAUAGCAACAGCAUAAAAGUACUAUAUGCGUAAAUGUUUGUUGUAAAUGUCAAAAACGUUGUACAUUUGGAAGAUUGUAACAAGAUAAUUAAAAGAUGAUAGGUAGCGGGGGUACAUCUCUUUGAUUCUUUCUCAUCAGAAUUUUCGAAGUAUUUUAUGUUACGCUGAAUGCAGAGCCAUGAUAAAGCAUGAAUGCAAUACAAAUCCCAAACGGAACGUGUUGGCUACAAAGCUCUUUCACACAAUCUUGAUCCACAUUUCAGUCAUUUAUUUUCAAUGCAGCCUCAUUUUCAAGGUAAUGUAUGAGAACAUAUCAUAAAUAAUACUUUAGUGGGAUCUACUGUGAUCUAAAACUACCCAAUUUGGUAGUACAAUGGCCAGUGAGAAGUAAUGACACACUCGUGAAACAUAUCAAAUACAAUGCCUUUUUUUCAGUGGGUGAGUCAAGUUUAGAAAAAAACAACAACUCCGUACAUGAUGCUUGUGUCAGGUUUGAUUCAAGUGCAGUUAGAUAGAGUACGUCACAAAUAAGCAGCAAAUAUAAUACCUAGUUAAAAACAUGAUAAAACAUGACAUUUCCUGUCGAAUAAUCAAAACUUAACGUGUAGCAGUCCUUAUUGACUCCUUUUUAAAACAGUGCAUUAAAAGCCUUCAAAAAACACCUAGUUGUAUCCUAAAUACUUCACAGCGUCAAAGACCUCUGAAAGUCAAAAAUGUCAAAAUCUAGAAAAAUAAAUUGUACCCUCAAACGACUUGAGUUAUGUAAAUUGAUACGUGAAACAUCAUCAGUAAUGUAACGUUUUGCAUGGGUAAAGUUUGCGCCCUCAAACACUUCAUUGGUUACGUAAAAAGUCACAUCAAAUAUUGUAAAGCAAAUAGAUUUUUUUUUUUUUUUGAGCUAAAAUACCAGUAAUGCUAAAGCCAUGGUCUAAAGCAGUGGUUCGCUACUGUUGUUGCAAGGUCAUGACCCACUUUUAUAGAAGUUGAUACAAGAACUAUUUUUUGUUGUUUAAAAAUAGCCUUUGAAAAAAAAA